GGAAGAUAGACAAUAAACACCAUAAAAAGGUAUCAAGGAGCAUUCAGUGACUCCUCCCCUCUUGAAGAAUAAAAGCUGAUGAAAAGAAGGCCAGCCUCUGCUCAUGAAGUCUCCCUCUCCUGAGUCCUUUGGAUUGCAAUAAUCAGAGUCUUGUUCUCUCGCCCAGGCUAG